GGUGGCCUAGUGGUUAGAGCAACCGCCUCGGAUGUGAGAGGUCGUGGGUUCGAUCCCCUGUCGAAUUAUACCA